UACUUAAACAAAUUUAAAAAGUUAAGCUUUUAAAUAAAUAUUAAAAAUAUUAUUCCCUUGUAGUGUAGUUUAAUAGCUAUCUACAUAAUAAUUAAACACUAAGUAUGAUAGAUUAUAAUUUAUAAUAUGACGCAUGCAGUUUUGUUACUAGUUGAUAAUGUUAGUAUUAGUAAUAUUAAUAUGUGUGGUAAAGGAACUCGGCAAAUAACCGCUCAACUGUUUAUCAAAAACAUAGCUAUAUGGAUUAAUAUAUAGUUAUUUCUGCUCAAUGACUUAAAUAGCCGCAGUACUCUGACUGUGCAAAGGUAGCAUAAUCAGUUGGCUUUUAAUUAGAGUCUGGUAUGAACGAAAAUAUGGGUAGUAACUGUCUUACCACAUUUAUUUGAACUUAUUUAACAAGUGCAAAUGCUUGUGAUUGAAACAAUAGACGAGAAGACCCUAGAAACUUGAACAGGUUUUUGUUGGGGCGACAGAAUUACAUUCAACUAAUCUUAUAAUACAUGACGCAAUGUUGAAAGAAUAAGUUACUCUAGGGAUAACAGCAUAAUUUCAUUAGUUUGUGACCUCGAUGUUGGACUAGGUACUAUAUCCUUAAGGCAAGGGUAUAUUAUGCUCUGUUCGAGCAACAAUA
rnacentral:rRNA from 1 species